rnacentral:rRNA from 1 species
CGUAGGUGGCAAGCGUUUGUCCGGAAUUAUUGGGCGUAAAGCGCGCGCAGGCGGCUUCUUAAGUCCAUCUUAAAAGUGCGGGGCUUAACCCCGUGAUGGGAUGGAAACUGAGAGGCUGGAGUAUCGGAGAGGAAAGUGGAAUUCCUAGUGUAGCGGUGAAAUGCGUAGAGAUUAGGAAGAACACCGGUGGCGAAGGCGACUUUCUGGACGACAACUGACGCCGAGGCGCGAAAGCGUUGGGGAGCAA